rnacentral:snoRNA from 1 species
CCCCUCCAGGCUCCUUUGCCAUCAGCUCUAAGCACUGGUCUGAGGGUUACAAAAGGAAGAAAAGGAAAAUGAAAAUGAACUUCAAUUCCUUUGUGACACACAAGCUAGUUUCUAUCAAAA